GCAAGUCGAACGGUAAGGUCUCUUCGGAGAUACACGAGUGGCGCACGGGUGAGGAACACGUACACAAUCUACCUUGAACUGAGGAAUAGCCCCGGGAAACUGGGAUUAAUACUUCAUAGUCUUUACAGAUCGCAUGAGAAGUAAAGUAAAGCUCCGGCGGUUCAAGAUGAGUGUGCGUCCCAUUAGAUAGUUGGUGAGGUAACGGCUCACCAAGUCUGCGAUGGGUAGCUGGCGUGAGAGCGCGACC
rnacentral:rRNA from 1 species